AUUGAACGCUGGCGGCGUGCCUAACACAUGCAAGUCGAGCGGUAACAGGCGUAGCAAUACGUGCUGACGAGCGGCGAACGGGUGAGCAAUGCUUCGGAAUCUGCCCAAUGGUGGGGAAUAACCAGUCGAAAGACUGGCUAAUACCGCAUACGCCCUUCGGGGGAAAGCGGGGGUCGCAAGACCUCGCGCCGAUGGAUGAGCCGAAGUCGGAUUAGCUAGUUGGUAGGGUAACGGCCUACCAAGGCGACGACCCGUAGCUGGUCUGAGAGGACGACCAGCCACACUGGGACUGAGACACGGCCCAGACUCCUACGGGAGGCAGCAGUGGGGAAUAUUGGACAAUGGGCGAAAGCCUGAUCCAGCGACGCCGCGUGUGUGAAGAAGGCCUGCGGGUUGUAAAGCACUUUUAGUGGGGAUGAAAAGCACAUUGCUAAUACCAGUGUGUCUUGACCUAACCCAAAGAAAAAGCACCGGCUAACUCUGUGCCAGCCGCCGCAGUAACAC
rnacentral:rRNA from 1 species